UUAUAGCUUGCUAUGAUAAAAAUUAGUGGCAGACGGGUGAGUAAUGCAUAGGAAUCUACCUAGUAGUAUGGGAUAGCCACUAGAAAUGGUGGGUAAUACUGUAUAAUCCCUGCGGGGGAAAGAUUUAUCGCUAUUAGAUGAGCCUAUGUUAGAUUAGCUAGUUGGUAGGGUAAAGGCCUACCAAGGCAGUGAUCUAUAGCUGGUCUGAGAGGAUGAUCAGCCACACUGGAACUGAGAUACGGUCCAGACUCCUACGGGAGGCAGCAGUGGGGAAUAUUGGACAAUGGGCGCAAGCCUGAUCCAGCUAUGCCGCGUGAGUGAGGAAGGCCUUAGGGUUGUAAAACUCUUUCAGUGGGGAAGAUAAUGACGGUACCCACAGAAGAAGUCCCGGCAAACUCCGUGCCAGCAGCCGCGGUAAUACGGAGGGGGCAAGCGUUGUUCGGAAUUAUUGGGCGUAAAGGGCAUGUAGGCGGUUCGGUAAGUUAAAGGUGAAAUGCCAGGGCUU
rnacentral:rRNA from 1 species